CAAAGAAUCAAGCUAAUUUAACUAAAUACAUAUCUAAAAUCCAGCCGCAGCCGCUAGCAGUUCCAACUGGAGCUCCUCCUGCAUCUUCUACUGCACCACGUGGCCCGUCACCUGGUCCUAAACGUCAUAAAGCUGCACCUGUACCUGAAAAAAAUAUAAAAAUGUUGAAAAAUACUACUAAACCAACCAAUUAUUCACCUGCCAUACAAAUGCCGCCAGCCGCAACACCCGCAACAGCCGCACCUGAAAACGGAGAAAAAACAAAGUUAAAUUUAACUACAAAUAUUGGAAAAACUAAAAGCCAACAAUACUCACCUAAAAACUCAACGCGGCCACCUGCAUCCCAUGGAGUCUAGCUGUUCCCGUCCUAACACCUUUACUCUGUCGUCGGUGGAGGUCUCCAGUGAUGAUUCAGCAGCCAUGUUCCUCUAAAAUAAUAAUAAUUAAUUUAUAAUUUCCAAUAUUGGUUAAUCUUAUUGUCAAUUUUUAUACUUAUGUCACAUUUUUCUAA